GUCUUGUCGGCCUCUCCAGGUCUUGUCGGCCUCUCCAGGUCUUGUCGGCCUCUCCAGGUCUUGUCGGUCUCUCCAGGUCUUGUAGGUCUCUCCAGGUCUUUGUCGGCCUCUCCAGGUCUUGUCGGCCUCUCCAGGUCUUGUCGGCCUCUCCAGGUCGUCCUCUCCAGGUCUU